GUGGGGAAUAUUGGACAAUGGGCGAAAGCCUGAUCCAGCCAUGCCGCGUGUGUGAAGAAGGUCUUCGGAUUGUAAAGCACUUUAAGUUGGGAGGAAGGGCAGUAAGUUAAUACCUUGCUGUUUUGACGUUACCGACAGAAUAAGCACCGGCUAACUUCGUGCCAGCAGCCGCGGUAAUACGAAGGGUGCAAGCGUUAAUCGGAAUUACUGGGCGUAAAGCGCGCGUAGGUGGUUUUGUAAGUUGGAGGUGAAAUCCCCGGGCUCAACCUGGGAACUGCCUCCAAAACUGCAUGACUAGAGUACGGUAGAGGGUAGUGGAAUUUCCUGUGUAGCGGUGAAAGGCGUAGAUAUAGGAAGGAACACCAGUGGCGAAGGCGACUACCUGGACUGAUACUGACACUGAGGUGCGAAAGCGUGGGGAGCAAACAGGAUUAGAAACCCCUGUAGUCC
rnacentral:rRNA from 1 species